rnacentral:rRNA from 1 species
GACGAACGCUGGCGGCGUGCUUAACACAUGCAAGUCGAACGGAAAGGCCCUGCUUUUGUGGGGUGCUCGAGUGGCGAACGGGUGAGUAACACGUGAGUAACCUGCCCUUGACUUUGGGAUAACUUCAGGAAACUGGGGCUAAUACCGGAUAGGAGCUCCUGCUGCAUGGUGGGGGUUGGAAAGUUUCGACGGUUGGGGAUGGACUCGCGGCUUAUCCGCUUGUUGGUGGGGUAGUGGCUUACCAAGGCUUUGACGGGUAGCCGGCCUGAGAGGGUGACCGGCCACAUUGGGACUGAGGUACGGCCCAGACUCGUACGGGAGGCAGCAGUGGGGAAUAUUGCACAAUGGGCGGAAGCCUGAUGCAGAAACGCCGCGUGCGGGAUGACGGCCUUCGGGUUGUAAACCGCUUUCGCCUGUGACGAAGCGUGAGUGACGGUAAUGGGUAAAGAAGCACCGGCUAACUACGUG